ensembl:lncRNA
AUGUUUUUGGGUUGUUGUGUGGUUGUGUUGCUGUUGGGUUGUUGUUUUGGGGUUGAGGUGUUGUGGUGUUGGGUUGUUGUUGCUGUUGGGUUGUGGUUGUGUGGUUGGGUUGUUGUGUGGUUGGUUUGCUGUUGUGUUGUUGCUUUUUUGUUCCUAUUGUGCUGUUGUGCUGUUGCUGUUGUUGGGUUGUUGCUGUGGUUGUGUUGCUGUGGUUGUGUUGCUGUGGUUGUGUGGUUGUGUUUUGUGGUUGUGUGGUUGUUGUUGGGUUGUGUGGUUGUGUUGUUGUGGGAUUGUUGUGGUGUUGUGUUGUGGGGUUGGGUUCUGUGGUUGGGUUGUUGUUGCUGUUGUGUUGUUGUUGCUGUUGGGUUGUUGUUGGGUUGUUGUGGUGUUGUGGUGUUGUUGCUGUUGGGUUGUUGUUGGGUUGUGGUGUUGUGGUGUUGGGUUGUUGUUGGGUUGUUGCUGCUCUUGGGUGGUUUUGUGGUUGUUGCUGUUGUGUGGUUGUGUUGCUGUUGUGUUGUUGUGUGGUUGCUGUUGGGUUAUUGUUGUUGUGUUGUUGCUGUGUUGUUGGGUUGUUGGGUUAUUGUGUUGUUGGGAUGUUGUUGGGAUGUGGUUCUGUUGUGUGGUUGUGUUGCUGUUGUUGUAUUGUUGUUGUUGUAUUGUUGUUGUUGUAUUGUUGUUGUUGCUGUUGUGUGGUUGUUGUGUGGUUGUUGUGUGGUUGUGUUGUUAUUGUGUUGUUGUUGCUGUGUUGUUGUGUUGUUGUGUUGCUGUUGUUGUGUUGUGCUGCUGUGUUGUUGCUGUUGUGUUGUUGGGUUGUUGUUGUGUGGUUGUGUUUUUGAUGUGUUGUUGCUGUGUUGUUGUUGUGUUGUUGUGCUGUUGUUGUGCUGUUGUUGUUGUGUGGUUGUUGCUUUGUUGUUGCUGUUGGGUUGUUAUGGUGUUGGGUUGUUGUGCUGUUGUUGUGCUGUUGGGUUGGUUUUGGGUUGUUGGGUUGUUGGGUUGUUGUUGUGUGGUUAUGUGGUUGUUGUUGUGUUGUGUGGUUGUGUUGUUGUUGGGUUGUUGCUGUUGUGUGGUUGUUGUGAGGUUGUUGUUGUGUGGUUGUGUUGCCGUUGUUGUGCCGUUGUGUUGUGCUGUUGUUGGGUGGUUGUUGUUGCGUUGUUGUGUUGUUGUUGUGCUGUUGUUGUUGGGUGUUUUUUGCUGUUGGGUUGUGUUGCCGUUGUUGUGUUGCUGCGUUGUGACGUUGUUGUGUUGCCAUUGUUGCGUUGUUGCGUUGUUGUGCUGUUGUGCUGUUGCGUUGUUGUGCUGUUGCAUUGUUGUGUUGUUGUGUUUGUGUUUGUGCGCAGUUGCGUCUGUUUAUGUCGCUUGUUGCGUCUUUGUGCUGGUUGCGUGUUGUGUUGUUGUGUUGUUACGUUGUUGUGUUGCCGUUGCUGUUGCGUUGUUGUGCUGUUGCGUUGUUGUGCUGUUGCGUUGUUGUGUUGUUGUGUUGUUACGUUGUUGCGUUGUUGUGCUGUUGCGUUGUUGUGCUGUUGCGUUGUUGUGCUGUUGCGUUGUUGUGCUGUUGCGCUGUUGCGUUUCAUAGUUUCAUAG